rnacentral:rRNA from 1 species
UACGAGGGGGGCAAGCGUUGUUCGGAAUUAUUGGGCGUAAAGAGCGUGUAGGCGGCCAUACAGGUCAGCUGUGAAAACUCGAGGCUCAACCUCGAGACGUCGGUUGAAACCGUAUGGCUAGAGUCCGGAAGAGGAGAGUGGAAUUCCCGGUGUAGCGGUGAAAUGUGCAGAUAUCGGGAAGAACACCCGUGGCGAAGGCGGCUCUCUGGGACGGUACUGACGCUGAGACGCGAAAGCGUGGGGAGCAAACAGG